AACGCUGGCGGCGUGCCUAAUACAUGCAAGUCGAGCGAGCUGAAUUCAAAGAUUCCUUCGGGAUGAUUUGUUGGACGCUAGCGGCGGAUGGGUGAGUAACACGUGGGCAAUCUGCCCUAAAGACUGGGAUACCACUUGGAAACAGGUGCUAAUACCGGAUAACAACAUGAAUCGCAUGAUUCAAGUUUGAAAGGCGGCGCAAGCUGUCACUUUAGGAUGAGCCCGCGGCGCAUUAGCUAGUUGGUGGGGUAAAGGCCUACCAAGGCAAUGAUGCGUAGCCGAGUUGAGAGACUGAUCGGCCACAUUGGGACUGAGACACGGCCCAAACUCCUACGGGAGGCAGCAGUAGGGAAUCUUCCACAAUGGACGCAAGUCUGAUGGAGCAACGCCGCGUGAGUGAAGAAGGUCUUCGGAUCGUAAAGCUCUGGUUGUGGUGAAGAAGGAUAGAGGCAGUAACUGGUCUUUAUUUGACGGUAAUCAACCAGAAAGUCACGGCUAACUA
rnacentral:rRNA from 1 species